UUAGUAGUAAAUUAAGAAUAGAGA
rnacentral:piRNA from 1 species